rnacentral:rRNA from 1 species
GCAGCCGCGGUAAUACGUAGGGGGCAAGCGUUAUCCGGAUUUACUGGGUGUAAAGGGAGCGUAGACGGCAUAGUAAGUCUGAUGUGAAAGCCCGGGGCUCAACCCCGGGACUGCAUUGGAAACUACUAAGCUAGAGUGCAGGAGAGGUAAGUGGAAUUCCUAGUGUAGCGGUGAAAUGCGUAGAUUUUAGGAGGAACACCAGUGGCGAAGGCGACUUACUGGACUGUAACUGACGUUGAGGCUCGAAAGCGUGGGGAGCAAACAGGAUUAGAUACCCUGGUAGUCCACCCCGUAAACGAUGAAAACUAGGUGUCGGGGAGUACUGCUCUUCGGUGCCCCCGCUAACGCAAUAAGUAUUCCACCUGGGGAGUAC